ACUAUGCUGUAAGACUGUAACACUGCCAUACUUAAUUUGUCGUUGGUUGUUUAGGAACACUUUGGGAACCACUGGAUUAACCCAUUAAGACCAGGACUGUUGUCAGCUUGCAGUGGAAAGUGCCAUCGGUUACACCCCAGUGCAGCGCUGGCACUCACCAUUUGGGCUGGGUGAUGCACAUUGUGAAUGAAGCAGCCCAACUCCACACCAAACCCUCAGGAGGGCCACCUUUCGCAAGGAUGAAAGGAGAGGAAAUCGACUUUCAUGAGGAUUACAUGAUUGAUAGC
rnacentral:lncRNA from 1 species